rnacentral:rRNA from 1 species
GACGAACGCUGGCGGCGUGCUUAACACAUGCAAGUCGAACGGAAAGGCCCUGCUUUUGUGGGGUGCUCGAGUGGCGAACGGGUGAGUAACACGUGAGUAACCUGCCCUUGACUUUGGGAUAACUUCAGGAAACUGGGGCUAAUACCGGAUAGGAGCUCCUGCUGGAUGGUGGGGGUUGGAAAGUUUCGGCGGUUGGGGAUGGACUCGGGGCUUAUCAGCUUGUUGGUGGGGUAGUGGCUUACCAAGGCUUUGGCGGGUAGCCGGCCUGAGAGGGUGACCGGCCACAUUGGGCCUGAGAUACGGACCAGACUCCUACGGGAGGCAGCAGUGGGGAAUAUUGCACAAUGGGCGGAAGCCUGAUGCAGAAACGCCGCGUGCGUGAUGAAGGCCUUCGGGUUGUAAACCGCAUUAGCCUGUGACCAAGCGUGAGUGACGGUAAUGGGUAAAGAAGCACCGGCUAACUACGUG